rnacentral:misc_RNA from 1 species
AACGCAAAUUGCACUCUCUGGCAACCCGGGGAGUAUGCCUGUUUGAGGGUCAGUGUUAAUAAAAAUCGGGUUCGUUGCAAUUUUUGUGACGUUUCCGGAGUUUGAGUUAUCUUAACUUCGGUUUUAAGAGGCUUAAAAUUGACCUUUUUUUGUGCAUUUUAGACGUACAUAAAUUUUUUUUUAUUCGUCCAUCCUAAUGCCAAAAUCUAUUAGAUGCGACCAUAUCUUGUGGUUUCGUAUCUAUAAAUUUUUCAUGAUUUGACCUCAAAUCAGGUAGGAACACCCGCUGAACUUAA